rnacentral:rRNA from 1 species
UACGUAGGGGGCUAGCGUUGUCCGGAAUCAUUGGGCGUAAAGCGCGCGUAGGCGGCCCGGUAAGUCCGCUGUAAAAGUCAAAGGCUCAACCUUUGAAUGUCAGUGGAUACUGCCGGGCUAGAGUCCGGAAGAGGCGAGUGGAACUCCUGGUGUAGCGGUGGAAUGCGCAGAUAUCAGGAAGAACACCGACGGCGAAGGCAGCUCGCUGGGACGGUACUGACGCUGAGGCGACGAAAGCGUGGGGAGCGAACAGG